CAGUUCGGAUUGAAGGCUGAAAUUCGCCUUCAUGAAGCCGGAAUUGCUAGUAAUGGCAGGUCAGCAUACUGCCGUGAAUACGUUCCCGGGCCUUGUACACACCGCCCGCCACACCAUGAGAGUUGGGAAUACCCGAAGCCUGUGAGCUAACUUUUAGAGGCAGCAGUCGAAGGUAGAAUCAAUGAUUGGGGUGAAGUCGUAACAAGGUAUC
rnacentral:rRNA from 1 species